rnacentral:misc_RNA from 1 species
UCCGAGUUGACCCCGGCAGUCUCCUAUGAGUCCCCACCAUGACGUGCUGGCAACAUAGAACGAGGGUUGCGCUCGUUGCGGGACUUAACCCAACAUCUCACGACACGAGCUGACGACAGCCAUGCACCACCUGUAUACCGCCACCUAAAUGACCCCGCAUCUCUACGAGUACACGGCAUAUGUCAAACCCAGGUAAGGUUCUUCGCGUUGCAUCGAAUUAAAGAACAUGCUCCGCUGCUUGUGCGGGCCCCCGUCAAUUCUUUUGAGUUUUAGCCUUGCGGCCGUACUCCCCAGGCGGGGCACUUAAUGCGUUUGCUGCGGCACGGAACUCGUGGAAUGAGCCCCACACCUAGUGCCCAACGUUUACGGCAUGGACUAC